UAGUAAAAGCAGCUACCAAAUCUUUAGUAGCAAAAACAUUGGUAAAAUAUACACAUUUUUUGUAAAUAUUACUAUAAUUGCGUAAAAAAGAUGUCAGACGCAAUGAAUGUUCCUAUCAGGAUUUCGUAUAUUUUACUUCAUAUCAUUAGUAAGUUUGUUUUUAUCGUCAUACCUAACAACUGUGAUGUGCGCACUUUGUCUUUUGUCUUUUGGAGACGAAGCGAUUCGGAGUUGGCCUUAAAAUUAUAUGCAGUUCAAUCAUUCAUCAUAAACAAAUCGGAGAUAAGUAUUCGUUUUUUUACAUCAUUACAUCAGUCACCUCGGUCGGGAAACUAUUUUCAUAUUCCCGCCAAGGAUAAACAUCAGUUAUAUUCUGUACAUUACAACACUAUUGACCUUUUUCCUUGUCUUUACAGCUGGCAUGAUCCCAGACUCGUAAUACUUGUUUACCAAAAACCAUCCAAGCUAUGGGAUUGAAGGUAACGGCGAGUUUGUCGCUAAGAUUGGAAUCUUUCUUCAACACAUCAUCGACCGUAAAAAACUUAAGGGACACGAGAGAACAAAAUACGGAUGAAAAGUGCUAAUCCUACCGUCAGUCUGCUAAUCAGCUAAUGCAAAUAAGAGCGAUGCAGCAGGAAGAGGAACGGGAACUUGCUUUGGAAAUGCUCAUCAAAUUGAGGUGGUUGAGGCUGCGAUUAAAAUUUGCCUCUUGUACGCAGUUGUUAGAAUGAUUCCAACGAGAAUUAUUGAUGUUGUUUAUAGAAUAAGUUAUUAGUAUAAUGUAUUCUAAGU